rnacentral:rRNA from 1 species
GAUGAACGCUGGCGGCGUGCCUAAUACAUGCAAGUCGAGCGAACGGACGAGAAGCUUGCUUCUCUGAUGUUAGCGGCGGACGGGUGAGUAACACGUGGAUAACCUACCUAUAAGACUGGGAUAACUUCGGGAAACCGGAGCUAAUACCGGAUAAUAUUUUGAACCGCAUGGUUCAAAAGUGAAAGACGGCCUUGCUGUCACUUAUAGAUGGAUCCGCGCUGCAUUAGCUAGUUGGUAAGGUAACGGCUUACCAAGGCAACGAUGCAUAGCCGACCUGAGAGGGUGAUCGGCCACACUGGAACUGAGACACGGUUCAGACUCCUACGGGAGGCAGCAGUAGGGAAUCUUCCGCAAUGGGCGAAAGCCUGACGGUGCAACGCCGCGUGAGUGAUGAAGGUCUUCGGAUCGUAAAACUCUGUUAUUAGGGAAGAACAUAUGUGUAAGUAACUGUGCACAUCUUGACGGUACCUAAUCAGAAAGCCACGGCUAACUACGUGCCAGCAGCCGCGGUAAUACGUAGGUGGCAAGCGUUAUCCGGAAUUAUUGGGCGUAAAGCGCGCGUAGGCGGUUUUUUAAGUCUGAUGUGAAAGCCCACGGCUCAACCGUGGAGGGUCAUUGGAAACUGGAAAACUUGAGUGCAGAAGAGGAAAGUGGAAUUCCAUGUGUAGCGGUGAAAUGCGCAGAGAUAUGGAGGAACACCAGUGGCGAAGGCGACUUUCUGGUCUGUAACUGACGCUGAUGUGCGAAAGCGUGGGGAUCAAACAGGAUUAGAUACCCUGGUAGUCCACGCCGUAAACGAUGAGUGCUAAGUGUUAGGGGGUUUCCGCCCCUUAGUGCUGCAGCUAACGCAUUAAGCACUCCGCCUGGGGAGUACGACCGCAAGGUUGAAACUCAAAGGAAUUGACGGGGACCCGCACAAGCGGUGGAGCAUGUGGUUUAAUUCGAAGCAACGCGAAGAACCUUACCAAAUCUUGACAUCCUUUGACAACUCUAGAGAUAGAGCUUUCCCCUUCGGGGGACAAAGUGACAGGUGGUGCAUGGUUGUCGUCAGCUCGUGUCGUGAGAUGUUGGGUUAAGUCCCGCAACGAGCGCAACCCUUAAGCUUAGUUGCCAUCAUUAAGUUGGGCACUCUAAGUUGACUGCCGGUGACAAACCGGAGGAAGGUGGGGAUGACGUCAAAUCAUCAUGCCCCUUAUGAUUUGGGCUACACACGUGCUACAAUGGACAAUACAAAGGGCAGCGAAACCGCGAGGUCAAGCAAAUCCCAUAAAGUUGUUCUCAGUUCGGAUUGUAGUCUGCAACUCGACUACAUGAAGCUGGAAUCGCUAGUAAUCGUAGAUCAGCAUGCUACGGUGAAUACGUUCCCGGGUCU